CUACGGGGCGCUGCAGUGAGGAAUAUUGCACAAUGGGGGGAACCCUGAUGCAGCAACGCCGCGUGGAGGAUGACGCAUUUCGGUGUGUAAACUCCUUUUAUAUGUCAAGAAAAUGACGGUAGCAUAUGAAUAAGCACCGGCUAACUCCGUGCCAGCAGCCGCGGUAAUACGGAGGGUGCAGGCGUUACUCGGAAUCACUGGGCGUAAAGGACACGUAGGCGGGUUGGCAAGUCAGGUGUGAAAUCCUACAGCGUAACUGUAGAACUGCACUUGAAACUUCUCAUCUAGAGUAUGGGAGGGGGAGAUGGAAUUAGUGGUGUAGGGGUAAAAUCCGUAGAUAUCACGAGGAAUACCUAAAGCGAAGGCGAUCUCCUGGAACAUUACUGACGCUAAGGCGUGAAAGCGUGGGGAGCAAACAGGAUUAGAUACCCUAGUAGUC
rnacentral:rRNA from 1 species